rnacentral:rRNA from 1 species
UACGGAGGAGGCAAGCGUUAUCCGGAAUUAUUGGGCGUAAAGCGUCCGCAGGUGGCGAUUCAAGUCUGCGGUCAAAGACUGGGGCUUAACCCUGGAAAGGCCGUGGAAACUGAAUAGCUAGAGUGCAGUAGGGGUAGAGGGAAUUCCCGGUGUAGCGGUGAAAUGCGUAGAGCUCGGGAAGAACAUCGGUGGCGAAAGCGCUCUGCUGGACUGCAACUGACACUCAGGGACGAAAGCUAGGGGAGCAAACGGG